rnacentral:rRNA from 1 species
GGUUAAGCGACUAAGCGUACACGGUGGAUGCCCUGGCAGUCAGAGGCGAUGAAGGACGUGCUAAUCUGCGAAAAGCGUCGGUAAGGUGAUAUGAACCGUUAUAACCGGCGAUGUCCGAAUGGGGAAACCCAGUGCAAUUCGUUGCACUAUCGUUAACUGAAUACAUAGGUUAACGAGGCGAACCGGGGGAACUGAAACAUCUAAGUACCCCGAGGAAAAGAAAUCAACCGAGAUUCCCCCAGUAGCGGCGAGCGAACGGGGAGCAGCCCAGAGUCUGAAUCAGCUUGUGUGUUAGUGGAACGGUCUGGAAAGUCCGACGGUACAGGGUGAUAGUCCCGUACACCAAAAUGCACAGGCUGUGAACUCGAAGAGUAGGGCGGGACACGUGGUAUCCUGUCUGAAUAUGGGGGGACCAUCCUCCAAGGCUAAAUACUCCUGACUGACCGAUAGUGAACCAGUACCGUGAGGGAAAGGCGAAAAGAACCCCGGCGAGGGGAGUGAAAAAGAACCUGAAACCGUGUACGUACAAGCAGUGGGAGCACCUUCGGGUGUGACUGCGUACCUUUUGUAUAAUGGGUCAGCGACUUAUAUUCUGUAGCAAGGUUAACCGUAUAGGGGAGCCGCAGGGAAACCGAGUCUUAACUGGGCGUUAAGUUGCAGGGUAUAGACCCGAAACCCGGUGAUCUAGCCAUGGGCAGGUUGAAGGUUGGGUAACACUAACUGGAGGACCGAACCGACUAAUGUUGAAAAAUUAGCGGAUGACUUGUGGCUGGGGGUGAAAGGCCAAUCAAACCGGGAGAUAGCUGGUUCUCCCCGAAAGCUAUUUAGGUAGCGCCUCGUGAAUUCAUCUUCGGGGGUAGAGCACUGUUUCGGCUAGGGGGUCAUCCCGACUUACCAACCCGAUGCAAACUACGAAUACCGAAGAAUGUUAUCACGGGAGACACACGGCGGGUGCUAACGUCCGUCGUGAA